rnacentral:tRNA from 1 species
GGUAGCAGGGCCGAGCGGCCCAAGGCGCUGGAUUAAGGUUCCAGUUUCUACGGGGGGCGUGGGUUCGAGUCCCACCGCUGCCA